UACGUAGGGUGCGAGCGUUAAUCGGAAUUACUGGGCGUAAAGCGUGCGCAGGCGGUUUCGUAAGACAGGCGUGAAAUCCCCGGGCUCAACCUGGGAACUGCGCUUGUGACUGCGAGGCUAGAGUGUGUCAGAGGGAGGUGGAAUUCCACGUGUAGCAGUGAAAUGCGUAGAGAUGUGGAGGAACACCGAUGGCGAAGGCAGCCUCCUGGGACAACACUGACGCUCAUGCACGAAAGCGUGGGGAGCAAACAGG
rnacentral:rRNA from 1 species